AGCGAACGCUGGCGGCAGGCUUAACACAUGCAAGUCGAGCGGGCCCUUCGGGGUCAGCGGCAGACGGGUGAGUAACACGUGGGAACGUACCCUUUGGUUCGGAAUAACGCUGGGAAACUAGCGCUAAUACCGGAUACGCCCUUUUGGGGAAAGGCUUGCUGCCGAAGGAUCGGCCCGCGACUGAUUAGCUAGUUGGUGGGGUAAUGGCCUACCAAGGCGACGAUCAGUAGCUGGUCUGAGAGGAUGAUCAGCCACACUGGGACUGAGACACGGCCCAGACUCCUACGGGAGGCAGCAGUGGGGAAUAUUGGACAAUGGGCGCAAGCCUGAUCCAGCCAUGCCGCGUGAGUGAUGAAGGCCUUAGGGUUGUAAAGCUCUUUUGUCCGGGACGAUAAUGACGGAACCGGAAGAAUAAGCCCCGGCUAACUUCGUG
rnacentral:rRNA from 1 species